rnacentral:rRNA from 1 species
UACAGAGGUCUCAAGCGUUGUUCGGAUUCAUUGGGCGUAAAGGGUGCGUAGGCGGCGCGGUAAGUCGGGUGUGAAAUUUCGGAGCUUAACUCCGAAACUGCAUUCGAUACUGCCGUGCUUGAGGACUGGAGAGGAGACUGGAAUUUACGGUGUAGCAGUGAAAUGCGUAGAGAUCGUAAGGAAGACCAGUGGCGAAGGCGGGUCUCUGGACAGUUCCUGACACUGAGGCACGAAGGCCAGGGGAGCAAACGGG